rnacentral:rRNA from 1 species
AGCGAACGCUGGCGGCAGGCCUAACACAUGCAAGUCGAACGAAGUCUUCGGACCUAGUGGCGGACGGGUGAGUAACACGUGGGAACGUGCCUUUAGGUUCGGAAUAACUCAGGGAAACUUGUGCUAAUACCGAAUGUGCCCUUCGGGGGAAAGAUUGUAUCGACUUUAGAGCGGCCCGCGUCUGAUUAGCUAGUUGGUGCGGUAAAGGCUCACCAAGGGUACGAACAGUAGCUGGUGUGAGAGGAUGACCAGCCACAUUGGGACUGAGACACGGCCCAAACUCCUACGGGAGGCAGCAGGGGGGAAUCUUGCGCAAUGGGCGAAAGCCUGACGCAGCCAUGCCGCGUGGAUGAUGAAGGUCUUAGGAUUGUAAAAUCCUUUCACCGGUGAAGAUAAUGACUGUAGCCGGAGAAGAAGCCCCGGCUAACUUCGUGCCAGCCGCCGCGGUAACAC